rnacentral:rRNA from 1 species
CCCUUAGAUGUUCUGGGCCGCACGCGCGCUACACUGUUCGUCGCAGCGAGUCUUAACCUUGACCGAAAGGUUUGGGUAAUCUUCAGCAAAGACGAACGUGAUGGGGAUCGAUCAUUGCAAUUAUUGAUCGUGAACGAGGAAUUCCUAGUAAGUGCAAGUCAUCAGCUUGCGCUGAUUACGUCCCUGCCCUUUGUACACACCGCCCGUCGCACCUACCGAUUGGAUGGUCCGGUGAAGCCUCGGGAUUGUGGUUCUUGCCGCUUUAUUGUGGCGUGACCGCGAGAACUUGUCUAAACCUUAUCAUCUAGAGGAAGGUGAAGUCGUAACA